GUGUUGUAUGAAAGGAGAGAAGGUUAGCACUUCCCUUGAUAAUAAUGGAAGAGGUCCUAGUAGCCUUUACAACACACAUACAAUUAAGGCAGUGCAACCUACUUUGUGGCAUCUAACCUUGGGUUUGU
ensembl:snRNA